AGAACGCUCAGAACUGCAUCCAUAAAUGGUAGAGCCUGCGUCCUCGGUGCUGAUACUUAAUGGAAAUCGUAUGUGUUCGCGGACCCAGCCGACCUUUUCGACACACGACUCCCAGUUAACAGUGGAAAUUCCACAGUGUGGGCUCGCAAGGCCGUUAGGGCCGGCGGAGUCACAUUUUCAAAUUUUCUCCGGGGACGAGCGCGGCGUGGGGCCCCAGGGACAUCCGAUCACCCGUUCACCAGUGUGAGGGCUUCACUCUGGACGCUGGAAGGCCGAGCUCACACCUGAUCCCCGCGGCCCGGAUAUGCACCUCUUCCCACAUCUCGCUAAUUUGCAUGGUGGCGCGACAUCCCCAACCUGCGCCACUACUGGGUGUUGCCUGGGCACAGGCACGGUGCCACGACACCAGCCCCGUGUCCCUGUUCGUGUCCCGGUCCCGAAGAAUGUUGGUGAAAAUGCACAUUCCUCUGGGGUGACCA